GCCGCUAUAGCCCAGUGGCUAGGAGCGUUGGUCUCGUAAACCAAAGGUCGCAAGUUCGAAUCUUGUUGGCGGCA